rnacentral:rRNA from 1 species
UACGAAGGGGGCUAGCGUUGUUCGGAAUCACUGGGCGUAAAGGGCGUGUAGGCGGUCAAGCAAGUGGGAUGUGAAAUGCCUCGGCUUACCCGGGGACCUGCAUCCCAAACUGCUUGGCUUGAGUAUGGGAGAGGAUGAGGGAAUUCCUGGUGUAGCGGUGAAAUGCGUAGAUAUCAGGAGGAACACCGGUGGCGAAAGCGCUCAUCUGGCCCAAUACUGACGCUGAGGCGCGAAAGCUAGGGGAGCAAACGGG